GACGAACGCUGGCGGCGUGCUUAACACAUGCAAGUCGAACGGAAAGGCCUGCUUUCCCUUGUGGAUUGCGGGUACUCGAGUGGCGAACGGGUGAGUAACACGUGAGCGAUCUGCCCCCAACUUGGGUAUAAGCCUGGGAAACUGGGUCUAAUUCCCGAUAGGACUGCAGGGUGGUGCCUGUGGUGGAAAACGAUUUUCUAGUGGUUGGGGAUGAGCUCGCGGCCUAUCAGCUUGUUGGUGGGGUAAUGGCCUACCAAGGCGGCGACGGGUAGCCGGCCUGGGAGGGUGGACGGCCACAUUGGGACUGAGAUACGGCCCAGACUCCUACGGGAGGCAGCAGUGGGGAAUAUUGCACGAUGGGCGGAAGCCUGAUGCAGCGACGCCGCGUGGGGGAUGACGGCCUUCGGGUUGUAAACUCCUUUCGACCGCGAGGAAGCCACCUGGUUGGAAGGGUGGUGACGGUAGUGGUAGAAGAAGCACCGGCUAACUAUGUG
rnacentral:rRNA from 1 species